GGGAGUGGGCCCUCUACCCUCGGGCGCAGCGCUGGCGCUGUGCCCGGAGACAGCAGGUGGCGCUGUGGGGUCGGGGCAAUAGGCCUGCAUUCCGCUUCCGCGUGUCCCACACCCCUUCCCCCUUGGCCCCGGGGACCUUAAUUUCUGCCGCGAGAGGGCGCUCGCCGCCAAACCCCAGAUAAUAGUCUCGGUCGGAGGAUUUGCAAGCUACGGGGGCACUGCGGUAUAUCCAACUGUGGAAUUGACCCAAGGGCAGAGGGGGAGCAAGGAUAUUUGUGCCUACUCAGCCCAUUGUUCCCAAGGACAAGUGUCACUCCAGGGCAGCCCCUUCCCUCCGACAACACGGGCACCCAGAUGCCGGAACGACGUGGGAAAAGGGAAGAUUCUGCAGGCCCCAACCUGAAGCCCAGGCCCACAAGUCCAAUCUCUGCCAGACCCAAGAUGGGAUCAAAUGCCUUCAAGUCCAGACUCGGCCCCAUCCGAGAGGGGGUUACUGGCCGCUCUCAAGACGAAAGGGAUCCCUGGUGAAUCAGGAAAGUUAUUGGGCUGGAAAGUGGUUAAAGGGCUGAGCGUGGGAGGGGAUUUCCACCGAGAGAGCCAGGCCCAGGAGCAAGCCUGGGCGGGUCGGCUGCAGGGUUGCUACCCACUUGAUGUCUGUUGCAAUGGUGCCCAUAAAACCCAAAUCGUUAGACUCGAAGCCUUGAUCAGUUUUUUCUUCUGUUUCCCUUUAGAGAAACGGAGAUCCGAGGAAACCCCAACGCUCUAGAACAAAGGACUCUACAUGAAAGGGGUGCAGGCAGGGUAGGGAAAGGGCAAGGGAAGUGCAGAUAUAGGAGAGGCUGAGCCCCACGGCUCAGCCCCCCGGCUGCUCUGCUGUGGUGUACAUGGCCCACUCCAGAAGGCCCCGCUGACCCUGGAGAAAUCUUGUGGCCAGUGACUACCAUUUACAUCUCCAAACUGGCCCUUGCUUUCAAGCCAGCCCUGUGGUUUUGUUUUAUUUUUAAAAUAUGUGCAAUACACGUGUGCGUGUGACAUCCAAACCAUAUACAAGCACAGCUUUGGAGAUAUUGUGGGCUGGGCUCCAGACCACUGCAAUAAAGCAUAUGUUGCAAUAAAGCGAAUCAAAUGAA